rnacentral:lncRNA from 1 species
UUCAAGGUAAACAGAGAUUGAAUACCAAAAGAACCUGAGAAUUUGUACUCUGUAGGUGACGAAUCAAGGAAAGCGGGGCCAUUUACCGAUGGCGACUUCAAAACAAAACUGAUAUUUACCGAUAUCAAGGAAAGCGAGGCCAUUUACCGAUGGCGACUUCAAAAGCAAAUUGAUAUUUAUCGAUAUCAAGGAAAGCGAGGCCAUUUACCGAUGGCGGCUUCACUGGGGAGGAACAAGAUGUUUACAAGUGAAACAAG